CACGCGGGGGCGAAGGCGGUUGGGAGGAGAAGUCGCUCGAGCGAGGAAGCGGCGGGAGGGCGGCCGUUAGGAAAAUGGCGCCGUGCGGCCCGGGGCAGACACCGGGCCACCAGAAGCCUUCUCAGUACUGUACAAGUGACUUCAGCAACAUCCUGUACAACUUCAACAUGAUGUCCCAACUCCUUUAUUCAAUGGUGUGAACAAUUAAGGUAAGUGUGCUGAAUGCUUAACAUCAGUCUACAUUUGUCAAUAUAUCAUAUCAGUUGCAUGACACUGUGACCUUUUGCUCUUAACUCUGCGUCUUAUGAUCCUGCUCCACAGCUACCCGCUGAAGGAGCAGCGCUCCGAAAGCUAGUGCUUCCAAAUAAAACUGUUGGACUAUAA